GUCUCACUCUACCAGUGGCUCAUUUCUUCAGUUACAGGAUGUACCUUCAUUACACUUGAUAUAUUAUAUUAAACACAUAUUCCUGACUGUCAGGGACCAGUUGGGCAGAAGAGGGCUGUGCUGGGGCUGGGGGCUGGCAGGGCAGGCAAUGUCACGCUGCCACCAGGAAGGGUGCAGCCCUGCAGCACCUGCACAAGGAAUAAAAACUAGGAAAUGGCAAGUUUUCAGGAACCUGAAGUCAUCAUUCAAAACCUGACAGUCCACUAGAGGGGAGGUUGGG